AGAGUUUGAUCCUGGCUCAGAACGAACGCUGGCGGCGUGCCUAACACAUGCAAGUCGAGCGCGAAUGGAGCAAUCCUAGUAGAGCGGCGCACGGGUGCGUAACACGUGGAUAAUCUGCCUGGGUGUCUGGGAUAACCAGUCGAAAGAUUGGCUAAUACCGGAUAAGCCCCCGGGAGCUUCGGCUCUUGAGGGAAAAGGUGGCCUCUGUAUACAAGCUAUCACAUCCAGAUGAGUCCGCGGCCCAUCAGCUAGUUGGCGGGGUAAUGGCCCACCAAGGCAACGACGGGUAGCUGGUCUGAGAGGACGAUCAGCCACACUGGAACUGAGACACGGUCCAGACUCCUACGGGAGGCAGCAGUGGGGAAUUUCGCGCAAUGGGCGAAAGCCUGACGCAGCAACGCCGCGUGUGUGAUGAAGGUCUUCGGAUUGUAAAGCACUUUCGACCGGGACGAAAACCCUGAGGCUAACAUCCUCAGGCUUGACGGUACCGGGAGAAGAAGCACCGGCUAACUCUGUGCCAGCAGCCGCGGUAAUUC
rnacentral:rRNA from 1 species